rnacentral:rRNA from 1 species
UACGAAGGGUGCAAGCGUUACUCGGAAUUACUGGGCGUAAAGCGUGCGUAGGUGGUUUGUUAAGUCUGAUGUGAAAGCCCUGGGCUCAACCUGGGAACGGCAUUGGAAACUGGCUUACUAGAGUGCGGUAGAGGGGUGUGGAAUUCCCGGUGUAGCAGUGAAAUGCGUAGAUAUCGGGAGGAACAUCUGUGGCGAAGGCGGCGUUCUGGACUGCAACUGACACUGAAAAACGAAAGCCAGGGGAGCAAACGGG